UACGAAGGGGGCGAGCGUUGUUCGGAAUUACUGGGCGUAAAGGGCGCGCAGGCGGCUCUGAAAGUCAGAUGUGAAAUCCCUCGGCUCAACCGGGGAACUGCGUCUGAUACUGGGUGGCUUGAAUCCGGGAGAGGGAUGCGGAAUUCCAGGUGUAGCGGUGAAAUGCGUAGAUAUCUGGAGGAACACCGGUGGCGAAGGCGGCAUCCUGGACCGGUAUUGACGCUGAGGCGCGAAAGCCAGGGGAGCAAACGGG
rnacentral:rRNA from 1 species